GGUGAACUCCACAUACGCAUCCUUUGCUGAGGAUACGGUUAACGGAGCGAAAGCGACGUUCAACCUCAAAAGAAGCAGAGGGGGCUUAGUGGUGGGGUGACUGCGUACCUUUUGUAUAAUGGGUCAGCGACUUAUAUUCUGUAGCAAGGUUAACCGAAUAGGGGAGCCGGAGGGAAACCGAGUCUUAACCGGGCGUUAAGUUGCAGGGUAUAGACCCGAAACCCGGUGAUCUAGCCAUGGGCAGGUUGAAGGUUGGGUAACACUAACUGGAGGACCGAACCGACUAAUGUUGAAAAAUUAGCGGAUGACCUGUGGCUGGGGGUGAAAGGCCAAUCAAACCGGGAGAUAGCUGGUUCUCCCCGAAAGCUAUUUAGGUAGCGCCUCGUGAACUCAUCUCCGGGGGUAGAGCACUGUUUCGGCUAGGGGGCCAUCCCGGCUUACCAACCCGAUGCAAACUGCGAAUACCGGAGAAUGUUAUCACGGGAGACACACGGCGGGUGCUAACGUCCGUCGUGAAGAGGGAAACAACCCAGACCGCCAGCUAAGGUCCCAAAGUCAUGGUUAAGUGGGAAACGAUGUGGGAAGGCCCAGACAGCCAGGAUGUUGGCUUAGAAGCAGCCAUCAUUUAAAGAAAGCGUAAUAGCUCACUGGUCGAGUCGGCCUGCGCGGAAGAUGUAACGGGGCUAAACCAUGCACCGAAGCUGCGGCAGCGAACGUAUCACCCAAGACAACUUUACGGAGUUGACGAUUGACGGAGCGAAGCGACGUCAAAGCGUUCAUUAAAGUCGAGUUGGCUUAGGGAUACGUUCGUUGGGUAGGGGAGCGUUCUGUAAGCCUGUGAAGGUGGCCUGUGAGGGUUGCUGGAGGUAUCAGAAGUGCGAAUGCUGACAUAAGUAACGAUAAUGCGGGUGAAAAACCCGCACGCCGGAAGACCAAGGGUUCCUGUCCAACGUUAAUCGGGGCAGGGUGAGUCGACCCCUAAGGCGAGGCCGAAAGGCGUAGUCGAUGGGAAACAGGUUAAUAUUCCUGUACUUGGUGUUACUGCGAAGGGGGGACGGAGAAGGCUAUGUUAGCCGGGCGACGGUUGUCCCGGUUUAAGCAUGUAGGCGGAGGUUCCAGGUAAAUCCGGUACCUUAUUAACGCUGAGGUGUGAUGACGAGGCACUACGGUGCUGAAG
rnacentral:rRNA from 1 species